GACGAACCGAGCGACCGUUAUUCGGAAUCACUGGGCUUAAAGGGCGCGUAGGCGGGCGGCCAAGUCAGGGGUGAAAGCCCCCAGCUCAACUGGGGAAGUGCCUCUGAUACUGGUCGCCUCGAGGGAGAUAGGGGCGUGCGGAACUUCCGGUGGAGCGGUGAAAUGCGUAGAUAUCGGAAGGAACACCGGUGGCGAAAGCGGCGCGCUGGAUCUCUUCUGACGCUGAGGCGCGAAAGCUAGGGGAGCGAACGGG
rnacentral:rRNA from 1 species